rnacentral:rRNA from 1 species
UACGGGGGGGGCAAGCGUUGUUCGGAAUUACUGGGCGUAAAGGGCUCGUAGGCGGCCAACUAAGUCAGACGUGAAAUCCCUCGGCUUAACCGGGGAACUGCGUCUGAUACUGGAUGGCUUGAGUUCGGGAGAGGGAUGCAGAAUUCCAGGUGUAGCGGUGAAAUGCGUAGAUAUCUGGAGGAAUACCGGUGGCGAAGGCGGCAUCCUGGACCGACAUUGACGCUGAUGAGCGAAAGCUAGGGGAGCAAACGGG